GUAACAUACCUCAGAGAUCUAAAUAUUGCUCUCUUGAACCAUCUGGGAAAAACUGGCUUAUUAGAAGUGAGUGGAGCAAACCUAUCCUGUUUAGAAGUAAUUGUAACUAAGACCUACUUCUGAGUAGUUUGUUUGUUUGUUUUAAAGAAUGAAGACAUAAAAAGGGGGCAAGGUUGUGAUGCCAGAAAAAAUACCAGAUAACCAUAAACCUUGGAAGCAAAAGGCCACAACUAUUUAUUGAAUACAGCUGCAGUAGUUGGCACGUGCAUGGAAUAGGAUCCAGGCAUCGAGCAGCCUGCAUACUGCUCGAUGAACCAAAGUUCCACCCUGCACCAAAGAAUGGAAGUGGAGCACCAGAUCAUGCCUGCCCAGGACAAGAUAUGUGCCUGCAGGGUGUGAGCUGGAUUGGACAAUCUUGGCAAGCAGCUGCAGAACUAGCCUGGAUCAUGAAAUGUGACUAUCAGGCUUCUUUUGUCCAAGCAAACCCAGAAAAUUGCCUCUAACUUGCAUUGAGCAGCAGCAGUAGUGUCAGGUGAUACUGGUGGAGGAUCUCUCAGAGACAUCAGUGGUGGCACCAUAUCUAACACUUGUUAGUACUGCACAGAAGGAGGCAUGGUAAACCCCUUCUGAAUGUCUUUCACCAUGAAAAUCCUAUGAUGAGACAAUCCAAAAUGAAAAAAGAGAAAGUGCCAGAAGUUGAGACUCCUAGGUCAUACACCACUCAGCAAGCUACUGGAGUACAGCAGCCAACAACUAUGAGUAGCACUGUGGCUACAUGGGAUGAGCAAACUAAAGUGAACAGGAAUGCAACAUUUUGAAUCAGGUUUUUUUUUCCCUUUAAAAACAACAACAAGAAGUACACCAAUCUAUACACUGUAUUCAAGAAUGAGAACAACACAUUCAACAAGAAUUGAAUCUGAAAAGAAAUAAUAACUAGAUGUUUCUAAAGUUUUCAUUAAAAUAGAGUUUCUCAUUACCAGCAUAACUGGAGCAUCAAUGUCCACUAAUAGCAUUUUGCCAGGAGUUGCUAAUGUCUGCACUGUUUUUUUAAAGCCUUUAUCUAAUGCAUAUUCUGAUUCUGCCCACUGAUGGCUGCUUCCA